rnacentral:lncRNA from 1 species
AACAUUUUCUUCCUGCAGGACCUGUAAUAUUCUGACACUCAGUGACGGAGAGGCUGUUAAAUUCACGCUGGUUGCUUUAUUAUGCCUCAACAACAAAACCCCACACAGAGCAGAGACAUGCUAAUCAAGGCAAGGUGAUGAUUGUCAGAGGGGAAAGUAAGUACAAAAACCAUACUCAGAGGAUGAAUGUGAUCGUGAAGGAGACAUUUUUAAGAUAUAUUUUUUGUGUGUUUUCUCCUCAUGAUCCUGUCGUUUUGGGAAUGAGAAGUUUCCUGCCACAAGAUCUUCAAAUGCAGGAUGGAUCCAGCUGAUUACUGGCAAUUUGGAGGAGGAUUGAUCUUUAUCUGCUACGUUGCACAGUCACUUCUGGUACAGAUUCAUUGACCUUUUGUGCUAUGUUUUGAUUUAACUUUAUUUGUAAUUAAGUUUCCAAUUGCACUUUAAUUGACACAGUGAAACUCUUGUAGAUGUAUCAAUUUCUUUUGCAUUUCUUCAGUAUGUUUUCAGUUGAGGAUAUUUCACAGUAAUCUUAAAGCUUAUAUUUAUG